rnacentral:piRNA from 1 species
UUGGUCAAAGAUAUUGUAAGG